CCGCCAGGCUAGGAAUAGCCUCCGGGUUUCUGAGUUCCAGCGUCCGUGCCGAUCUGUGAGUCAGCCUGUCAACAACGCUGACAAGAAUUUCAUCCCCUUCCAUGUGUGUUUUCAGUGGCCAGGC
rnacentral:lncRNA from 1 species